GAUGAACGCUGGCGGCGUGCCUAAUACAUGCAAGUCGAGCGAACGGACGAGAAGCUUGCUUCUCUGAUGUUAGCGGCGGACGGGUGAGUAACACGUGGAUAACCUACCUAUAAGACUGGGAUAACUUCGGGAAACCGGAGCUAAUACCGGAUAAUAUUUUGAACCGCAUGGUUCAAAAGUGAAAGACGGUCUUGCUGUCACUUAUAGAUGGAUCCGCGCUGCAUUAGCUAGUUGGUAAGGUAACGGCUUACCAAGGCAACGAUGCAUAGCCGACCUGAGAGGGUGAUCGGCCACACUGGAACUGAGACACGGUCCAGACUCCUACGGGAGGCAGCAGUAGGGAAUCUUCCGCAAUGGGCGAAAGCCUGACGGAGCAACGCCGCGUGAGUGAUGAAGGUCUUCGGAUCGUAAAACUCUGUUAUUAGGGAAGAACAUAUGUGUAAGUAACUGUGCACAUCUUGACGGUACCUAAUCAGAAAGCCACGGCUAACUACGUGCCAGCAGCCGCGGUAAUACGUAGGUGGCAAGCGUUAUCCGGAAUUAUUGGGUGUAAAGCGCGCGUAGGCGGUUUUUUAAGUCUGAUGUGAAAGCCCACGGCUCAACCGUGGAGGGUCAUUGGAAACUGGAAAACUUGAGUGCAGAAGAGGAAAGUGGAAUUCCAUGUGUAGCGGUGAAAUGCGCAGAGAUAUGGAGGAACACCAGUGGCGAAGGCGACUUUCUGGUCUGUAACUGACGCUGAUGUGCGAAAGCGUGGGGAUCAAACAGGAUUAGAUACCCUGGUAGUCCACGCCGUAAACGAUGAGUGCUAAGUGUUAGGGGGUUUCCGCCCCUUAGUGCUGCAGCUAACGCAUUAAGCACUCCGCCUGGGGAGUACGACCGCAAGGUUGAAACUCAAAGGAAUUGACGGGGACCCGCACAAGCGGUGGAGCAUGUGGUUUAAUUCGAAGCAACGCGAAGAACCUUACCAAAUCUUGACAUCCUUUGACAACUCUAGAGAUAGAGCCUUCCCCUUCGGGGGACAAAGUGACAGGUGGUGCAUGGUUGUCGUCAGCUCGUGUCGUGAGAUGUUGGGUUAAGUCCCGCAACGAGCGCAACCCUUAAGCUUAGUUGCCAUCAUUAAGUUGGGCACUCUAAGUUGACUGCCGGUGACAAACCGGAGGAAGGUGGGGAUGACGUCAAAUCAUCAUGCCCCUUAUGAUUUGGGCUACACACGUGCUACAAUGGACAAUACAAAGGGCAGCGAAACCGCGAGGUCAAGCAAAUCCCAUAAAGUUGUUCUCAGUUCGGAUUGUAGUCUGCAACUCGACUACAUGAAGCUGGAAUCGCUAGUAAUCGUAGAUCAGCAUGCUACGGUGAAUACGUUCCCGGGUCU
rnacentral:rRNA from 1 species